CAGUCGAGCGAAGCGCAUAGAUUUGAUUCUUCGGAUGAAGAUCUAUGCGACUGAGCGGCGGACGGGUGAGUAACGCGUGGGUAACCUGCCUUACACAGGGGGAUAACAGUUAGAAAUGACUGCUAAUACCGCAUAAGACCCCGGUACCGCAUGGUACAGAGGUAAAAACUGAGGUGGUGUAAGAUGGACCCGCGUCUGAUUAGGUAGUUGGUGAGGUAACGGCUCACCAAGCCGACGAUCAGUAGCCGGCCUGAGAGGGUGGACGGCCACAUUGGGACUGAGACACGGCCCAGACUCCUACGGGAGGCAGCAGUGGGGAAUAUUGCACAAUGGGGGAAACCCUGAUGCAGCGACGCCGCGUGAGCGAUGAAGUAUUUCGGUAUGUAAAGCUCUAUCAGCAGGGAAGAAAAUGACGGUACCUGACUAAGAAGCCCCGGCUAACUACGUGCCAGCAGCCGCGGUAAUACGUAGGGGGCAAGCGUUAUCCGGAUUUACUGGGUGUAAAGGGAGCGUAGACGGCAUGGCAAGCCAGAUGUGAAAUACCGGGGCUCAACCCCGGGACUGCAUUUGGAACUGUUAAGCUGGAGUGUCGGAGAGGCAGGCGGAAUUCCUAGUGUAGCGGUGAAAUGCGUAGAUAUUAAGGGGAACACCAGUGGCGAAGGCGGCCUGCUGGACGAUAACUGACGUUGAGGCUCGAAAGCGUGGGGAGCAAACA
rnacentral:rRNA from 1 species